GAUUCCCCUAGUAACUGCGAGUGAAGCGGGAAAAGCUCAAAUUUAAAAUCUGGCGGUUUCACCGUCCGAGUUGUAAUUUAGAGAAGUGUUACCCGUGCUGGACCGUGUACAAGUCUCCUGGAACGGAGCGUCGUGGAGGGUGAGAAUCCCGUACAUGACACGGACUACCAGGACGUUGUGGUGCGCUCUCGAAGAGUCGAGUUGUUUGGGAAUGCAGCUCAAAAUGGGUGGUAAAUUCCAUCUAAAGCUAAAUAUUGGGGAGAGACCGAUAGCGAACAAGUACCGUGAGGGAAAGAUGAAAAGAACUUUGGAAAGAGAGUUAAACAGUACGUGAAAUUGCUGAAAGGGAAACGCUUGAAGUCAGUCGCGUUGUGCGGGAUUCAGCCUGGCUUUUGCUUGGUGUACUUCCUGUACGAUGGGUCAGCAUCAGUUUUGACCGGUGGAUAAGGGCGUAGGGAAUGUGGCAUCCUCGGAUGUGUUAUAGCCUUGCGUCGCAUACAUCGGUUGGGACUGAGGAACUCAGCACGCCGCAAGGCGGGGUUUUACCACCUUCGUGCUUAGGAUGCUGGCAUAAUGGCUUUAAUCGACCCGUCUUGAAACACGGACCAAGGAGUCUAACAUGCCUGCGAGUGUUUGGGUGUUAAACCCGAGCGCGUAAUGAAAGUGAAAGUUGAGAUCCCUGUCGUGGGGAGCAUCGACGCCCGGAGCAGAACUUUUGGGACGCAUCCGCGGUUGAGCAUGUAUGUUGGGACCCGAAAGAUGGUGAACUAUGCCUGAAUAGGGUGAAGCCAGAGGAAACUCUGGUGGAGGCUCGUAGCGAUUCUGACGUGCAAAUCGAUCGUCGA
rnacentral:rRNA from 1 species